CCUACGGGAGGCAGCAGUAGGGAAUUUUGCGCAAUGGGCGAAAGCCUGACGCAGCAACGCCGCGUGAUCGAGACGCCCUUCGGGGUGUAAAGAUCUGUCAGUGGGGACGAAACGGGACGGUACCCACAGAGGAAGCACCGGCGAAUUCCGUGCCAGCAGCCGCGGUAAUACGGGGGGUGCAAGCGUUGUCCGGAAUCAUUGGGCGUAAAGAGUUCGUAGGCGGCACGUAAAGUCUGGUGUUAAAGGCAGAGGCUCAACUUCUGUACGGCACUGGAUACGUGCGAGCUCGAAGGCGGGAGAGGUAACGGUCAUUCCUGGUGUCGCGGUGAAAUGCUUCGAUAUCAGGAGGCACCUCGGUGGCGUUAGCGCUUUCCUGGGCCGUAAUUGACGCUGAGGACCG
rnacentral:rRNA from 1 species